UACGAAGGGGGCUAGCGUUGUUCGGAAUUACUGGGCGUAAAGCGCACGUAGGCGGACUAUUAAGUCAGGGGUGAAAUCCCGGAGCUCAACUCCGGAACUGCCUUUGAUACUGGUAGCCUAGAGAUCGGAAGAGGUGAGUGGAAUUCCCAGUGUAGAGGUGAAAUUCGUAGAUAUUGGGAAGAACACCAGUGGCGAAGGCGCUCACUGGUCCGAGUACUGACGCUGAGGCGCGAAAGCCAGGGAGCAA
rnacentral:rRNA from 1 species